UGGGGAAUUUUGGACAAUGGGCGAAAGCCUGAUCCAGCAAUGCCGCGUGUGUGAAGAAGGCCUUCGGGUUGUAAAGCACUUUUGUCCGGAAAGAAAUCCUUGGCUCUAAUACAGUCGGGGGAUGACGGUACCGGAAGAAUAAGCACCGGCUAACUACGUGCCAGCAGCCGCGGUAAUACGUAGGGUGCAAGCGUUAAUCGGAAUUACUGGGCGUAAAGCGUGCGCAGGCGGUUUGCUAAGACCGAUGUGAAAUCCCCGGGCUCAACCUGGGAACUGCAUUGGUGACUGGCAGGCUAGAGUAUGGCAGAGGGGGGAUAGAAUUCCACGUGUAGCAGUGAAAUGCGUAGAGAUGUGGAGGAAUACCGAUGGCGAAGGCAGCCCCCUGGGCCAAUACUGACGCUCAUGCACGAAAGCGUGGGGAGCAAACAGGAUUAGAUACCCUGGUAGUCCACGCCCUAAAACGAUGUCAACUAGUUGUUGGGGAUUCAUUUCCUUAGUAACGUAGCUAACGCGUGAAGUUGACCGCCUGGGGAGUACGGUCGCAAGAUUAAAACUCAAAUGAAUUGACGGGGUCAUAGCU
rnacentral:rRNA from 1 species